rnacentral:piRNA from 1 species
UNGGAAUGAAACCACAGGCUUAGAUAAA